UCAAGGAGAUAGAGAAGGAUGAAGGAUGGAUGGAAAUGAAGAGAAGAAGAGGAUUUCGGGGUGAUUGUCUCGAAUUUUGAAAAUUAGGGUUUGAGAUUUUGAUGGAGAGCGAAAGUGAGACAGUUUUGACCAAGGACAUGCCGAGAGAAUGUGUAUACCCUAGAAUUUGAGGUCAGUGGAGAGCUAGGAGAGGAGCCUUAGGUUUGGGAUGAGAGGA
rnacentral:lncRNA from 1 species